rnacentral:rRNA from 1 species
ACAGAGGUCCCAAGCGUUGUUCGGAAUUACUGGGCUUAAAGAGCACGUAGGCGGCAUCGUAAGUGUCAGGUUAAAUCCCACGGCUCACCCGUGGAACUGCCCGGCAGACUGCGAUGCUCGAGUGUGGUAGGGGAGAACGGAACUCCUGGUGGAGCGGUGAAAUGCGUAGAUAUCGAGAGGAACACCUGCGGCGAAGGCGGGUUGCCGGGCUGACACUGACGCUGAGGCGCGAAAGCGUGGGGAGCAAACAGGA